rnacentral:rRNA from 1 species
CCAAAGGCGGCGGACUGGAGUCUGAUCGUAAC